rnacentral:rRNA from 1 species
CGGACGGGUGAGUAACGCGUGGGUAACCUGCCAUAUACAGGGGGAUAACACUUAGAAAUAGGUGCUAAUACCGCAUAAGCGCACAUGGCCGCAUGGCCAGGUGUGAAAAACUCCGGUGGUAUAUGAUGGACCCGCGUCUGAUUAGCUAGUUGGUGAGGUAACGGCCCACCAAGGCGACGAUCAGUAGCCGGCCUGAGAGGGUGGACGGCCACAUUGGGACUGAGACACGGCCCAAACUCCUACGGGAGGCAGCAG